rnacentral:rRNA from 1 species
AUACGUAGGGUGCAAGCGUUAAUCGGAAUUACUGGGCGUAAAGCGUGCGCAGGCGGUUUUGUAAGACAGAGGUGAAAUCCCCCGGGCCAACCUGGGAACUGCCUUUGUGACUGCAAGGCUAGAGUACGGCAGAGGGGGAUGGACUUCCGCGUGUAGCAGUGAAAUGCGUAGAUAUGCGGAGGAACACCGAUGGCGAAGGCAAUCCCCUGGGCCUGUACUGACGCUCAUGCACGAAAGCGUGGGGAGCAAACAGGAUUAGAUACCCUGGUAGUCCACGCCCUAAACGAUGUCAACUGGUUGUUGGGUCUUCAUUGACUCAGUAACGAAGCUAACGCGUGAAGUUGACCGCCUGGGGAGUACGGCCGCAAGGUUGAAACUCAAAUGAAUUGACGGG